rfam:Heligmosomoides polygyrus genome assembly, scaffold: HPBE_scaffold0000007
GCGCCGGUGGUGUAAUGGCGUAAAGCAUUCCCGCCCGGUUAGAGGGAGGUGCUGGUUCGAGUCCCGCCUGGCGCU